UCACCUGCAAAAAUUCACCUGAAAAAAAUUCACCUGCAAAAAUUCACCUGAAAAAAAUUCACCUGCAAAAAUUCGCCUGCAAAAAUUCAACUGCAAAAGUGAUGAACUUUAAUGACCCAAGCCAGAGCAAUCAGCACCAGAUCGAGUCGAGUGGCUCUCAGCCAAUUAAAUUACGCUGUUUGAUCACAUGACACCGUUAGCCAGCAGUGUGUCUCCUAAAAGAGAGCUGUUUAAAGGAAAACGUUUGACUAACUCAAAGACAAUUUCCACGCCUCCCUGCCUGUCUGCAGAGGCAGUUUUGAAUUUAGGAGCGCCAAGAUGGCAGCGGCAAACCCUGGCGGCUCUCCGAUUAUGCAAGAUGAAAUUAUUCAGUCAGCAAGACACUUGCUGCAGUUGCUGACAUCAUCCAACUGAACUGCUGCUGUGAUGAAUCAGAAUACAAGAGAACAGAGUCAAGGUACCAGCUUGGUCAACCCUAAAAGACCAUCUGUUCAAUGACCAGGUGAAAAAGUCAUAAACUAAACACUCUGCAUGAGCAUGGAAUUUAGGAUGCAACUUUAUAUCUUACCUGCUCUACACUCAGGGCUUGAAUUACAACAACAGUCAAUCACAUAAAAAAUAUACUUUUGGUAGUUCUGUGUCUCUGUCUCUCUCCUCCAAACCCAGAUGGCUGCUGGUACUGAACCGGGUUCUGGUUCUGCUGGAGGUUUCUUCUUGUUAAAGGGGAGUUUUUCCUCUGCACUGUCACUUCAUGCUGCUCAGUGUGAGGGAUUGUUGAGGUUGAGUCCAUAUGUCCUGCGAACAACUGCUGGGCAAUGACACCAUGCAAUCUUCUGGGAUUCCUUGGAUAGAAAACCUGUGAACUGCACUUGUCCUUGGUCUUCACAGCUCACCUUUUUACUGUUUAUUGAAUCAAAAUGCUCCAGUGACAUGGAUUCUACAUUGUAACUGAUGUGAUGUUCUAUAAAGUGGUUUUAAUAAAAAAGGCAAAAAUUAGUUUGUUUCUUUAUUCAAUUUUUGAACAGUGAUACUCAUUCAGUAAAUGCAAAUUAUUUACAUGGCAGUGCACUAUAGGCAUAAAUCUAGACCCCUAGAUAAAACAUGAUGGCAUUAUAGCAGUGACAACUCCUCCACAGUAGCAGGUGGGAUUUCUUUUUUGAGGACGGCUCCUUUUACCUGUCACUACAGAUGGUCUGUUUAUGUUUUGAUCAAGAGCCUUUUUUUGGGCAGCUGAAGAGGAGAAG